rnacentral:lncRNA from 1 species
CUUCCCCAAAUCUGACAAGUGAAUAUUCUCAUGGUUGGUGGAAAAGUGCCUGAUGUACCAGAAAGAGCACUGGACUUGGAACCAGAAGACCUGGGUUUGGGGUGGUAGCUGGUAGGCAGCUGGCUGAGUGACCUGAGGCUGAUGCUACGCUCAGGCACACAGAUUUUGGCACCAGCUGCCAAACAGGCUGCCCGCCGAACUGCUGUGAAGUCAUCAGAGAAGCAGUGCAGGAAGCUUGGGAGAAGCUUGGCGGUCAUAAGCUUGAGCUCACCUAUCAGGUAGAGAGCUUCCACACGCUCCUGGGAAUUUCCUUGACCUAGCUUGACCCUGUAAGGCACAAGUUGCUUUCCUUUCACCUCCUUAAACUUUCAGUACCUAACCCCCAACCCCCACUAAUGCCCUCAUGAUAAAAUCCGGGUUCUGUAGGCUGUCAAUCCCAUUCAGCCUUAUGCUCAUGAGAUAAGUUUUACUGGGUACAGAGCUCGAUUGUCUUCUUUACUUGAAUCCCUAAUACAUA